AGUGCUGGCGCAAGUCGUCUUGCGCCAGGCGACUGGGUCUGAGGAGGCAGGAGUUAUUCAUUCCCUUAAGCUUUCAGGCCGGGGGGAGAAUCUUUCAGGUGGUAGCUGCAAGAACUCUUAGUAUGUUGACCUCACCUCUGCCUUCCACAUACCACUACCAGUGAGGAAUUAGGAAUGCAUGAGAAGAGUGUCCAAGAAGAGUGUCCUCAUUCAUGCAAGGCUUAAGAGAGAAUGCAGGUCAACAUCACCAUGUCAAUCAGAGGAAAGAGAUCUUCAUGUAAACAGAGUCCCUCUUAUUGGCUGAAGUGAAGAGUCAUUCUGAGGCAUCUCAAGAUGAAGGUUUCCUAUUUGUGAUUAUGAAAAAAAUGUCAAGAACAAGUCCCUUGGUGUUCUUAGACCAAAGUCAGAACAACAGACCUAAUGUGACAAUGUACUUCAAUGGACUUUAUGGGGAACAAGAAGACAUCUUCUCACUAGGGCUACAAAGUGCAUAGAAUGCAUGUUGGAUGCUCUGUUACUGUGAAGGGAGAGUCACCCAGAUAAUAAAGCCAGCAUUGAGGUAAGCAGAGAUGAAAAUUAGAGAAAGAAUUCUGAUGAAAUCUUGAAAUGGCUGGAUCUGGUCCUGGGAGGUAGGCUUAUUGCAAACAAUUCCAUGAUAAGUAAGACAAUAAAGUCCCUUUUUUUGCUAAAAUCAGAUUAAAUUAGAUGUUGACAUCUGCUGCCAAAAGAAUCCCAAAUAAAACAUUUCCUUUAGGAUAAAUUCCCCUGUACUCCAGAACAAUCUCCCUCAGAAACUGGAGUGGCUCAUGAUGGUAUUUCAAACUAAAGUGCCAAUGACUAGGAAUGCUUGCUGACUCAACCACUGGAAUGUUCUGGAGAUGAAAUUGAUAUUUGAAAGCAACUGGAGGGUGACUGACAGUUGGUAGGUACUUAAAAAAUAUCCUGAG
ensembl:lncRNA LINC01524 long intergenic non-protein coding RNA 1524